rnacentral:tRNA from 3 species
GGAAAGAUGGCUGAGCUGGUCGAAGGCGCACGACUGGAAAUCGUGUAGGCGGUGAUACCGUCUCGAGGGUUCGAAUCCCUCUCUUUCCGCCA